UUCAUAUCAUAUGUAGGUUUACCUUGACCUAAUUUCCUUAUUUUUAUACUGUACCAACUUAUUUCUUCAAAUUCUAGAUGCAAACUGUCAGUUAUUCCAACAAGUUGACUUAGCGCGCUCAGUCGAUUUCCAUCCAUUAGGCCCAUCAUGCUGUCAAAAGCCUAAAACUCAUGUUUGAAGUACACAUAUAUUGGAAUAAAAAUGUGCCGAGAUAAGGAUCUUUUCUGAAUCUCGCCUAUUUUGGUGGCGUACCCUGCAACAGCAUGUUUAUUGUUAUGGCUGAUUUUACUUCUGUUUAGAAGGCAACUCUAGAAACUCAAAGCGAAAGCAGCAAACUAAGAGAUAGAGUUUCAGAGACAUGAAGAGUGUGAAGUGACCUGCCAUGUAUGUACCAGAUCUCCUUUAUGAAAGUCAAAUGCCUUAUUAAAUUCAUCACCCAUUUGAUAAAGCAUCAGGAAAUUUAUCUCAACAUGUGAAGUAAUGCU